GUGUGUCGCUGAAAACCUGACAUAUGUAUCCAGUAUUGCCAAGGCAACCGAGGGGGGAGUUGGUUUCAACGUAGCGCACUUUCUCGGACGACAUAUGGGAAUGAUUGGUGACGUCACAGAAACUAGCUGUGCUGAAGAUAAUUACCUGAGUUCUUCUGAUUGGUCGCCUGGCACAUCCGACAAGGCUUCUCACCCUUUUCAUUGGUCAAACUGUACCAUUGAACGCAUAUACACGAGCUCACAAACAUCGGGUAAAAACGACUGUUUAUUAGUCAAUAGUUUUGUAAACGACACCUACCUCGCAUACCACUCUGCCUUAGAGCCAGGACGGGAAUUGGAAGCAGAUAUACAAUGCAAAUACGAAUUUGGUAGUACAUCGACA